UGCUGCACGGGGGCUGCGCGGCUGGAGGAUGCUCCGGUGGCCGGCCUGGAAAGGAGGAAAAAAGGAGGAAUUGAAGCAUCCUGGUCUUGUUUUUUUUGGUUCUUGCCAAAAGUUCCCACCAAAUCAUUUAGUUAGAAUAAAGAAGACUUUGUGAAACCCCUGACAUCUGUAUCCACAUCCCACAUGCUGACUGCCUUCAGGAAGAGGCUUGAAGGAUUGCAGCCCGAAGGAGUUGGCCUCUCCCACCUCUCUUUCCAGGAAGCUGGAGGUCAGAUUGGAGGUUCUGAGUUCCAGGCAGCUGAACACCAGGGCUGGGGUUUGUCCCAUGGCUUGUGCAGCACCAUCCAAAGGGCGGCAGGAGGGGCAGUGGCCACAGGGCCAGCAGCUCACGGAGAGCAGCUGCAGCCCCAGGGAACUGGGCUGAGCCAGGCUUGCUCCACAACUGGGAUGCCAUGGAGUCCAGCUCCAUGCUGCCUUUCUACCCUUGAAGUCUGCAAUAGUUUGUGGGGUUUUUUUGGUUUGUUUUUGGUUUGUUUUUUUUUGGUUUUUUUUUUUUUUUGUUUUGUUUUGUUUUGUUUUGUGUUGUUUUGCUUUGUUUUCAGACUUCUCAAAUGGCAAUGAAUUGUCAAGCAAUCAGAAGUAGAGCCUGGAAGACCUGAAAAAUAUCAACAAAUUUUUUGAACAGCAAGAGUGAUUUUUACAGGACAAAAGGAUUGCCGUGGGAAUGUGGAUUGCCAGCCCUGUGCUCUGCCCUCACAGUGCCUCCAUUUACUCCACAAGAACUGUCAGAAGAGCUUGUGCACAGAGAACACUAACUCAUGGAACCACACAAAAUGCAGCUCCAGGCAGAUUGCAAUUGGGAUCUGCAGGCAAUGACUUUAUUACAAGCCAGCAUCAGGUCCCUCUGAUGGCAGCCAGUGAACAGUUGAUUAGUGGGAGUAGUGGUGGGAGCUUGUGAGAUGAUUACUAAAGUGUUGUGGCUGCAGAAUAUUUGGUGCUCCUAUCAGCCCUGCAGUGAGAGCCAGCCUGAGGAGAGGACAGUCCCUCUGUGCCCCUCACCAGGUGCUGGUGAUGGCAUUUACAAACAUUCCUAUAUGGACAGCAGCUGUGCUACGUCACUGUCAUAUUUUCUGAAAAAUCCCUUCACCAGGAUUUCUUCUUCUGGGAAGAGAGAAGCCUCAGAGAGAAAUGAAAAUUAUAAUUAUCUGAUCCGCUUCUCCUGUGUUUUGCUGCUUUGGAAUGUGGUUUGGAGAUUAUUAAUCCAACAUCUGAAUUGUUUUGACUUAAUUACCCAUCACCAUCCGGCUGUGUCGGGACUCUGGAAGAGGUUACAGGGUUUUCAUUAGUGCCUUGUUAAGCCUUCUGUAAGGAUCCUUUCUCUAUUCUUUAGUAAUAUAAUAUAAU